UGACUCAUCUGGCAGUGUCUAGGAAUGCUAGCCCUUGCAGAUCUCCUUUUGCUUGAGCAACCUGUACCUCUAUCAACAAGUCGCUGAGUUCCCUGAGAUUCUGGUAAUCACUACCCACUAUUCUGGUAAAAUUAUCAAUUCUCUUAUAUAAAGCAUUUUCUAUAGCUUCUAUUGACCCAUAACACUCAUCAAGUCUUCCCACACCAUAUUUAGGCCUUUGCCCGGAUAGUUUAUGUUAAUGUCUCUGAUUCUUUUGGCGUGUUCAGCAGACUCGCUUCCAAGCCACUUAAUGAAGAGAUCUAACUCCUCACUACAGGAAAGAUCUAAGUCCCUCAUGGCGUUCUGGAAGGAGGCUCGCCAUGCCCUGUAAUUCUUGGGGUGAUCAGUGAACCAGCUCCCGUUGAGCAAAGAACUUAGCAAAGUCCAUGGCGGCCUGGUUAGCAACAAUACUACCCGGUGUGCUGUUGUUAUUCUGCGUGUGUGGUGUAUCACCAUACCUUUUAGAGGUUUCUGGCUUAGGGAAGACUGUAUAAUACCAUUCUGACGGGAAG